rnacentral:rRNA from 1 species
GACGAACGCUGGCGGCGUGCCUAAUACAUGCAAGUCGAGCGAGCUUGCCCAGAUGAUUUUAGUGCUUGCACUAAAUGAAACUAGAUACAAGCGAGCGGCGGACGGGUGAGUAACACGUGGGUAACCUGCCCAAGAGACUGGGAUAACACCUGGAAACAGAUGCUAAUACCGGAUAACAACACUAGACGCAUGUCUAGAGUUUGAAAGAUGGUUCUGCUAUCACUCUUGGAUGGACCUGCGGUGCAUUAGCUAGUUGGUAAGGUAACGGCUUACCAAGGCAAUGAUGCAUAGCCGAGUUGAGAGACUGAUCGGCCACAUUGGGACUGAGACACGGCCCAAACUCCUACGGGAGGCAGCAGUAGGGAAUCUUCCACAAUGGACGAAAGUCUGAUGGAGCAACGCCGCGUGAGUGAAGAAGGGUUUCGGCUCGUAAAGCUCUGUUGGUAGUGAAGAAAGAUAGAGGUAGUAACUGGCCUUUAUUUGACGGUAAUUGCUUAGAAAGUCACGGCUAACUACGUGCCAGCCGCCGCUGUAAGAC